CAAAAAACAUUUUUUUUUGUCUCGUUAUCAUUUGCCACAAUAUUCGUAUACAAAUUACACCGACCGUGUUUGUAUUUUGUGCGUCUACGAUUAAGGAUUAAUGGCUUUAUCGCGGUUUUGAUUUUAUAAUCAGCUGAGUUCAUAUUUAUAUAUUAGAUAUAAACAGUAUAUUAAUCGCACGACACUACCGCCGAGAAACGAUGAAAUCGUCAACAUAUUUGUCCGGGU